GUUUCACUCUUCAUGGAGGACACUGAGGUGACUGCCUGAUUUUAAGAUUUAUGAGUGCUGGGCUACAGACACUGAUGCUCUGCACUGGAAUGUUCCUUUCUUCCUGUGUCACUGUGCUGUGGGGAGUAGUGAACGUUCUUGCAAAGGACUGAGUACUGCUCCUUUCGGGUUGGGUGCCACAUGGAGGGAGCUAUUUUCUCGGUGUGUACUGGUAAACAACACGGUGUGUACUGGUAAACAACACAGUGUGGUAUUUUGUAGUGG